UGACACCUGGGUGCUGCUCAGUGCUAUCGUUUCUAUGAUACCUCACUCCACUGAGAGGUAGAUAGACAGAGAGCUUCAGUUUGAGAGAGAAACAGCGCGAGAGAAAGAGAGAGCGAGAGAGAGAGAGAACUGGAGGCUGUGUUCUAACCUGGGUUUGGAUUUUGUGGAUUUGUUUUCAGCAAAAGUAAGAGAAGAGUUGGGCUUCUUUUCUUGGGGUCCAUCCAUUUGCAAUUGUCAUGACUCAUGACUGAAACAGAAAGAGGAAGAGAAUAGGAGUUUACGGUUGUGAAAUUGGAUUUGUCAGAGGGUUGGGUGUAUGUGAUUAGUGAGGCUGUUGCUUAGUGGUGCUUCAUCAAGGGAGGCUCGACUUCAAAGCUGGUUAUCAGAAGUUCUUUAAGGUUUCACAUGCUGCUGUUGUAAGAAAUUGGUCUGCAAGGUCUGAAGAGAAGGAGAAGGUUGAAUCUGUAAAUCAAGAUAAGUGGAAGGGAAUUUUUUAUAGGCAAUUUUUGAAAUUAUGCUCAACUUUAAAUUUUUAGAAAUUUUUUUAUAAGGGUUUUUUUCCGAGAUUGAGGCAAGUGAUUGGUGGUAAACUGUAUUAGGUUUUUGUUUGUAUCUGGGAGUGGUUAGUUUAUGCUGUGAGAGGAGAGUUGGCCUUCAUUUCAAAAAGACUUCAACCAUAUUUGGCCGGAUUUUACACAUCAUUAGAACUCUCAUACAAAGAAAGUAUUAGUAGUUGUAAUGAGUGGUCUUCUUUUGUUUUGUAGAUAUCGGUAACAGCAAGCUAUCAAAAUUUGCAAGUAUUUUGAAUUGAGGAAAAUUUGGGUACAGCAAGAAGGAAGAUCUUGAAUUACUAUUAUUUUACAGUAAUCAGGAAACUGGGAAAAGAGAUGAAAUAGCUUCUGACCUUGACAGUAACACAGCAUAUAAAGAGCAAGCAAAGGCAAAGAUCAUUUUGCCUUACUGGGGAAAGUUAUGGAAGUAAGGGAGAAGUCAGUCAAUGCAACAGAGAAGUCAGCAGAAGAGCAAAAAUCACAAACCUAGAGGU
rnacentral:lncRNA from 1 species